AGUCUUAUAUUCAAUUAUGAUUUAAAAUUGCAAAUUUUAAGGUGCAAAUAAUAAGCUAAGGCUU
rnacentral:tRNA from 1 species